AAUAGCAUUUCUGGGUCACAUGGCAACUUUAUCUUAUAUUUUGAGAAACUGCCAAGAUCUUUUCUAAAGAUCAUUUUCCAUUUUCCAUCCCUACUAGUGAU
rnacentral:pre_miRNA from 1 species